AUUGAACGCUGGCGGCAGGCCUAACACAUGCAAGUCGAGCGGAUGAAGGGAGCUUGCUCCUGGAUUCAGCGGCGGACGGGUGAGUAAUGCCUAGGAAUCUGCCUGGUAGUGGGGGAUAACGUCCGGAAACGGGCGCUAAUACCGCAUACGUCCUGAGGGAGAAAGUGGGGGAUCUUCGGACCUCACGCUAUCAGAUGAGCCUAGGUCGGAUUAGCUAGUUGGUGGGGUAAAGGGCUACCAAGGCGACGAUCCGUAACUGGUCUGAGAGGAUGAUCAGUCACACUGGAACUGAGACACGGUCCAGACUCCUACGGGAGGCAGCAGUGGGGAAUAUUGGGCAAUGGGCGAAAGCCUGAUCCAGCCAUGCCGCGUGUGUGAAGAAGGUCUUCGGAUUGUAAAGCACUUUAAGUUGGGAGGAAGGGCAGUAAGUUAAUACCUUGCUGUUUUGACGUUACCAACAGAAUAAGCACCGGCUAACUUCGUG
rnacentral:rRNA from 1 species